rnacentral:misc_RNA from 1 species
UGAAGUAUUCCAUUCCUUCCUACUUCAGUAUCAGACAGCUCCAAAGCUUUCAAGUUUGAAAGGCCAGCUAAAUGAGCAAGACCAUCAUUGCUAAUCCUACAAGAAUCCAAGUAGAGGCCUUCCAAUUUUGUCAUCCCUUCUAACUGUACCAAACAUGUAUCCGUGAUAUUGUUAAAUCCCAGAUUCAACUCUUUCAAACUGCUGAGUGCCGAAAACUUCUCACAUCCAUCAUCUAAAAGGUGACAUCUAUUGACAUUUAGCGACUUCAACGAAGUGAGAGCUGUGAGGUAAUCCAAACAUGACGCAGUAACAACAGACCCUUCCAAGUUUAGCACGACUAGUUUGUACAGAUCUCUUAAAUAAGACACUCCAACAUUUGUUAUGUCGCUACAUGAAAUCUGAAGUUCCUUCAAAUUCACAAGCCCUGCAAGAGGCUUCAAGUCUGAAUCCGUAAUAAAUUUGCAGUUUCUUAUAGUGAGAGAUUCAAGGUUCGUCAAACCUUCAAGAUGAAUAAAACCUCCAUGAAUUAGAGGACAUCGCUCAAAUUCCAACUUGACUAGUUUCAUUGAGCCAGAUAAACUUUCCAUUGAUUCAGCACUGAGCCCAUUGCAUUUUCUAAAACUCAAGUAUUUCAAAUCCGUAAAACCAGCAAUGUGCUUUAUGCCUGGGGCAGAAAUUUUGUCGCAGCAAUCCAAACCUAAGGCUUGGAGGUUUGAGCAAUUCCUUAGGAGGCUUAAACCAAAAUCUGUAACCUCAGUGCUAGAGAUAUAUGCAGACAGUAAUGAUGAUCCUUGUGAAGAAAUGACAUCCAUCCAUUUAUUGUUUACUCUUGUAUGUUCUCGCAUGCACAUAUCAUGCAGGGCGCAAUCUCUAAAAGCCUCAAUACGACUAUCAGAAAGGCUGCAUGAAUCCACCAGAUGGUUGAAUAUCAACUGGCUUAUGUCUCUUGGGAGCAUUGAAAAUGAACGAUAUUUGUCGAUGUCCUUGCAUAUUUUACAGAUGCAUAAUUCCAUGAGGGACGGACAACGACUUUGUUGAAAUUGACAACACGUAGCGGGCAAAAAAAGCGAGGACUCUAGCCAUUUUGAGCUCCCAAAUUUGAAGUAUCUACCAGAAAAGCCUCUUCUAGUUAUGUUCUCAUCAGCAUAGUGGUCUCUUUUACAUGAACAUACACUCCCCAUCAAAGAAUUCCCUUGAGAAGACUCACUCAGUAUCAUUAAACGCUCCAAAAAGAUGGGUUC